rnacentral:rRNA from 1 species
UACGGGGGGGGCAAGCGUUGUUCGGAAUUACUGGGCGUAAAGGGCGCGUAGGCGGUUCGCUAAGUUGGAUGUGAAAACUCUGGGCUCAACCCAGAGCCUGCAUCCAAAACUGGCGGGCUAGAGUUCUGGAGGGGGUAGCGGAAUUCCUGGUGUAGCGGUGGAAUGCGCAGAUAUCAGGAGGAACACCAAUAGCGAAGGCAGCUCGCUGGGACGGUACUGACGCUAAGGCGCGAAAGCGUGGGGAGCGAACAGG